UACGGAGGGGGCUAGCGUUGUUCGGAAUCACUGGGCGUAAAGGGUGCGUAGGCGGUCGGGUAAGUCUGAUGUGAAAUCUCACAGCUUAACUGUGAAACUGCAUUGGAUACUAUCCGGCUUGAGGAAUGGAGGGGAGACUGGAAUACUUGGUGUAGCAGUGAAAUGCGUAGAUAUCAAGUGGAACACCAGUGGCGAAGGCGAGUCUCUGGACAUUUCCUGACGCUGAGGCACGAAAGCCAGGGGAGCAAACGGG
rnacentral:rRNA from 1 species